rnacentral:rRNA from 1 species
UACGGAGGGAGCUAGCGUUGUUCGGAAUUACUGGGCGUAAAGCGCGCGUAGGCGGCUUUGUAAGUUAGAGGUGAAAGCCCGGGGCUCAACCCCGGAACUGCCUUUAAAACUGCAUCGCUUGAAUCCGGGAGAGGUGAGUGGAAUUCCGAGUGUAGAGGUGAAAUUCGUAGAUAUUCGGAGGAACACCAGUGGCGAAGGCGGCUCACUGGACCGGCAUUGACGCUGAGGUGCGAAAGCGUGGGGAGCAAACAGG